ACCCGUACCCAUCCCGAACACGAUGGUUAAGACCUGAGCGGCCGAUGGUACUGCACUGGAGACGGUGUGGGAGAGUAGGUGGCCGCCAAAA
rnacentral:rRNA from 1 species